CAAGUAUAACUGACAAGUGAAUUCAGUAAGUUAGCAGGAUAUAAAACCAAUGUGCAGAAAUCUGUUGCAUAUCUAUACACUAAUAAUGAAAAAAUAGAAGGAAAAAU